rnacentral:rRNA from 1 species
GAAAGCCCGCAAGCCUGAUGCAGCCAUGCCGCGUGUGUGAAGAAGGCCCUAGGGUUGUAAAGCACUUUCAGUAAGGAGGAAAGGGUGUAGUUUAAUAGACUGCAUCUGUGACGUUACUUACAGAAGAAGCACCGGCUAACUUCGUGCCAGCAGCCGCGGUAAUACGAGGGGUGCAAGCGUUAAUCGGAAUUACUGGGCGUAAAGCGUACGCAGGCGGUUUGUUAAGCGAGAUGUGAAAGCCCCGGGCUCAACCUGGGAACUGCAUUUCGAACUGGCAGACUAGAGUAUGAUAGAGGGUGGUAGAAUUUCAGGUGUAGCGGUGAAAUGCGUAGAGAUCUGAAGGAAUACCGAUGGCGAAGGCAGCCACCUGGGUCAAUACUGACGCUCAUGUACGAAAGCGUGGGGAGCAAACGGGAUUAGAUACCCCGGUAGUCCACGCCGUAAACGAUGUCUACUAGGAGCUGGAAUCUUCGGAUGACUUUUCCAAAGCUAACGCAUUAAGUAGACCGCCUGGGGAGUACGGCCGCAAGGUUAAAACUCAAAUGAAUUGACGGGGGCCCGCACAAGCGGUGGAGCAUGUGGUUUAAUUCGAUGCAACGCGAAGAACCUUACCUACACUUGACAUCCAGAGAAGAGACUAGAGAUAGACUUGUGCCUUCGGGAACUCUGAGACAGGUGCUGCAUGGGUUGUGUCA